UGCGGUGUUUCAAGUUCUUGAUUUAGAUAUCUCAUGAGUCCUGGGAUUCUAGAUUUUCCUUUUCUGGAUUGAACAUACGUCCAAAAUUUUUUGGGGUCUGAUGAGAUUGAUGGCUGUAUUUCGUUUAGAUACCGAAGAACACUGACCAGUUUAACUCAGGUUCUAGACGCGAUGGAAUUGUUAUGGUGGAUAUGAAUUCAAAAGAAGUCAAAAAAGAAAACUUGAUGAAAAUUUGUGAACCAAUGUAUUAUUAAAAUGUUAUUGCUAAAUCACACUACAUUAAACAUUAAAAUUAAUGUACAAUAUUGUGCACUUAAAUAUAGCCAUUUUAAGUAAA